AGAGCGGGUGAGGUGAUCGCUCCCCGAAAGGGGGGAGGAAAGUCCGGGCUCCACAGGGCAAGGCGGUCCCGAAACGGGACAGGGGGCGACCCCAUGGAAAGUGCCACAGAAAAGAAGACCGCCCGCAAGGGUAAGGGUGAAACGGUGGGGUAAGAGCCCACCAGGUCCCCGGGCGACCGGGGAUGCUUGGAAAACCCCGCCUGGAGCAAGAUCACAUAGGGAAGCGCUUCCCGCAAGGGAAUAAGGACGGCCCGUCCGAGACUUCCGGGUAGAUCGCUCGUGCCGUCGAGCAAUCGGCGGCCCAGAUAAAUGAUCACCGCCCCGGGAAACCGGGGAGACAGAACCCGGCUUACGGCCCGCUCUGAUC
rnacentral:RNase_P_RNA from 1 species